rnacentral:ncRNA from 1 species
AAACAGGCGAUGAGGGAAAGAGUAACCGCAAAAGCUUCAAAGAGAGCCGGUGGACGGUGCGAACCGGUAAGUUUUUGCGGCGAAGUACAUUCCCGAUGCUGCAGGCUGAAAGGUCUUCGAGUAGGCUGGGCCGUUUGCCCCGCGUUAGGGGGAAGAGUGGGUUUAUCAGGGUUUUCUCCUUGAUAAACCAAUCAGGGUGGUACCGCGAGCAAAAACUCGCCCCUUUA